CCGCAGGUUAGGCCGGGACCAGGCGGAACCUUUCUGAAGCGCCUCCGGUAAACAAGCGCAGCGGGGACACUUUAGGACAACGCACGCCAGUCUCCGCGUGCUGUCUGCUUGGAGCAGCGCGGGCGGAUGUGAACAUUCGGUCGACUCCUUCCUUUACCGUGAGUGGAAUGGACGUGCUAGCGGAGGAGUUCGGGAGCCUGACCCCAGAGCAGCUGGCUGCGCCGGUCCCUACAGUAGAGGAAAAAUGGAGGCUGCUGCCAGCAUUUUUAAAGGUGAAAGGUCUUGUGAAACAGCACAUAGACUCCUUUAACUAUUUCAUUAAUGUAGAGAUUAAGAAGAUAAUGAAAGCCAAUGAAAAGGUUACAAGUGACGCUGACCCCAUGUGGUACUUAAAAUAUCUUAAUAUCUACGUUGGGCUUCCCGAUGUUGAAGAAAGCUUCAAUGUAACGAGGCCAGUGUCCCCCCAUGAGUGCCGUUUGAGGGACAUGACGUACUCUGCUCCAAUCACAGUGGACAUUGAGUAUACCCGAGGCAGCCAGAGGAUAAUCCGCAACGCCUUACCCAUUGGCAGAAUGCCCAUCAUGCUCCGAAGUUCAAACUGCGUGCUGACGGGGAAAACCCCAGCAGAGUUUGCCAAGUUGAACGAAUGCCCAUUGGACCCAGGUGGCUACUUCAUUGUUAAAGGUGUCGAAAAAGUGAUUCUUAUCCAAGAGCAGCUGUCCAAGAACAGGAUCAUCGUGGAGGCAGACAGGAAAGGGGCCGUUGGGGCUUCCGUCACCAGCUCCACCCACGAGAAGAAAAGCAGAACCAACAUGGCUGUGAAGCAAGGACGGUUUUAUUUGAGGCACAACACUUUGUCUGAAGAUAUACCCAUUGUCAUCAUAUUUAAGGCCAUGGGUGUUGAGAGUGACCAGGAAAUUGUGCAGAUGAUUGGAACAGAGGAGCACGUGAUGGCUGCAUUUGGGCCCAGCUUGGAGGAGUGCCAGAAAGCUCAGAUUUUCACACAGAUGCAGGCGUUAAAAUAUAUAGGGAAUAAAGUAAGAAGACAAAGAAUGUGGGGAGGUGGACCAAAGAAAACAAAAAUAGAAGAAGCGAGAGAACUCCUGGCUUCUACCAUUCUGACCCAUGUACCUGUUAAGGAAUUCAAUUUCCGAGCUAAGUGCAUCUACACUGCAGUGAUGGUUCGAAGGGUGAUUCUGGCUCAAGGAGAUAAUAAAGUCGAUGACAGAGACUAUUAUGGUAACAAGCGACUGGAAUUGGCAGGACAGCUUUUGUCGCUUCUUUUUGAAGAUUUGUUCAAAAAAUUUAAUUCAGAAAUGAAGAAGAUUGCAGACCAGGUGAUUCCCAAGCAAAGAGCAGCCCAGUUUGAUGUCGUGAAGCACAUGCGUCAGGACCAGAUCACCAACGGCAUGGUGAACGCCAUCUCCACUGGGAAUUGGUCUCUAAAGAGAUUUAAAAUGGACCGCCAGGGUGUGACCCAGGUGCUGUCUCGGUUGUCAUAUAUUUCUGCACUCGGCAUGAUGACAAGAAUCUCUUCCCAGUUUGAAAAAACAAGAAAAGUGAGUGGUCCUCGUUCUCUCCAGCCAUCCCAGUGGGGGAUGCUGUGUCCCUCUGACACACCUGAAGGAGAGGCCUGUGGUUUGGUUAAAAACUUGGCCCUUAUGACACAUAUUACAACUGACAUGGAGGACGGACCCAUUAUUAAGUUAGCUGGUAACCUGGGAGUAGAAGAUGUGAAUUUACUCUGUGGAGAAGAACUCUCUUACCCCAAUGUGUUUCUUGUCUUCCUGAAUGGCAACAUCCUAGGUGUCAUCCGAGACCAUAAAAAGCUUGUCAGUACAUUUCGGCUGAUGCGAAGAGCAGGCUACAUCAAUGAAUUUGUUUCUAUCUCUACAAAUCUUACAGACCGCUGUGUUUAUAUUUCCUCUGAUGGAGGACGGCUGUGCAGGCCUUACAUCAUUGUCAAGAGACAAAAGCCGGCAGUCACAAAUAAGCAUAUGGAAGAGUUGGCUCAAGGUUACAGGAACUUCGAAGAUUUCUUACACGAGAGUCUAGUUGAGUACUUAGAUGUGAAUGAAGAAAAUGAUUGUAACAUUGCACUCUAUGAGCACACGAUUAACAAAGAUACCACCCACCUGGAGAUUGAACCCUUCACUCUUCUUGGUGUUUGUGCUGGCCUCAUCCCAUACCCGCAUCAUAACCAGUCUCCAAGGAACACCUACCAGUGUGCCAUGGGCAAGCAAGCCAUGGGUACCAUUGGAUACAACCAGCGAAACAGAAUUGAUACACUUAUGUAUCUACUGGCAUAUCCACAGAAACCCAUGGUUAAAACAAAGACCAUUGAGUUGAUAGAUUUUGAGAAAUUGCCGGCUGGACAGAAUGCAACCGUUGCCGUGAUGAGUUACAGUGGCUAUGAUAUCGAAGACGCGCUGGUCUUGAACAAGGCCUCCCUGGACAGGGGUUUUGGGCGUUGUCUUGUGUAUAAAAAUGCUAAGUGCACAUUGAAGCGAUACACCAAUCAGACUUUUGAUAAGGUGAUGGGUCCCAUGUUGGAUGCUGCUACCAGAAAACCCAUCUGGCGACAUGAAAUCUUAGAUGCAGAUGGCAUUUGUUCUCCAGGUGAGAAAGUAGAAAACAAACAGGUGCUUGUAAACAAGUCCAUGCCCACAGUGACCCAGAUUCCUUUGGAGGGAAGUAGUGUGCCGCAGCAGCCACAGUACAAAGACGUGCCCAUCACGUACAAAGGUGCAACAGACUCCUACAUUGAGAAAGUGAUGAUCUCUUCCAAUGCUGAGGACGCCUUCCUCAUCAAGAUGCUCCUGAGACAGACGCGGCGGCCAGAGAUAGGAGACAAGUUCAGCAGUCGUCAUGGACAGAAAGGUGUUUGUGGUCUGAUCGUCCCCCAGGAAGACAUGCCGUUCUGCGACUCUGGUAUCUGUCCCGACAUCAUAAUGAACCCGCACGGCUUCCCAUCGAGAAUGACGGUCGGAAAGUUAAUUGAGCUGCUGGCUGGCAAGGCAGGUGUGUUAGACGGCAGGUUCCACUACGGCACUGCCUUUGGAGGGAGUAAAGUAAAGGAUGUGUGUGAAGACCUCGUUCGCCAUGGCUAUAACUACCUGGGGAAGGAUUAUGUCACCUCAGGCAUCACAGGUGAGCCCUUAGAGGCGUACAUAUACUUUGGACCUGUGUACUAUCAGAAGCUGAAACACAUGGUGCUGGAUAAAAUGCACGCCCGGGCCCGAGGACCACGCGCUGUGCUCACCAGGCAGCCCACUGAAGGACGAUCUCGUGAUGGUGGCUUGCGUCUGGGAGAAAUGGAACGUGAUUGUUUAAUCGGCUACGGAGCGAGUAUGCUUUUGCUAGAGAGACUAAUGAUCUCAAGUGAUGCUUUUGAGGUUGACGUCUGUGGGCAGUGUGGACUCCUGGGAUAUUCAGGCUGGUGCCACUACUGCAAGUCAUCAGGCCACGUGUCCUCGCUGCGCAUCCCGUAUGCCUGCAAGCUGCUCUUCCAGGAGCUGCAGUCCAUGAACAUCAUCCCCAGGUUGAAACUGGCCAAGUACAAUGAGUAAGGAUGGGUGCAGUCCCUGGGGGACACGGCCAGCAGCCCGCACAGCCCAAAGCAGAGGACUCUGAGGGACUUCUGAGUUCCAAACGGCUGAUUGACAGCUUAACCGAGAGCCCGAGUCACGGGAGAUGCCGGCCCCACAGACCGCAGCCUCGUGCUGAGUCACAGGCACACAAGCUAGAGAGAUUAUGAACUACAGUUGAUUUUCUUUGGCUUCGAGCUAGAAUCUCACUCUGUAGUCCAGGCUGGAUUUGAGCUCGUCCCAAUCUUCCUGCCUCCAUCUCUCACAAGUGUUGGAUUUACAGUGAAGACGUGGAAGUCGAAGCAGCUGCUCAUUCCAAGCAGAGGAGGCUGUGUAUGAAGUCAGAGGAGGCAUCACAUGUUCCCUGAAAGUUGGCUGUUUCCUGCUUUGUCACACCUUUCUCCAUAUUGAUGGCCCCUCCACAUCACUGUACUUGUGUGCUUCCUUGGUCCAUCAGAGGGAUCUUUUUUUUCUGGGGUGAUGUUGAUUCCACCAACUCCAUUAAGGUUAAUAACCCCGAAAGGCCAGGCCAUCUUAUCACCGAACACUCAGGUCCUUUGGAAGUAGGAGGCAGUGUUCUGGGUACUGGCACCAGGACACGUUGCUCAGCACUCAGUACGAUGGAUGGAUGGAUGCACUGUAUUGGGGGUAGAAGGAGCAGAAUAUACUUCUUGAUGAACAGAGUCCAGAGUCCAGUCUGUGAGCAGACCGAACUCAACUCAUCAGUGUUGCAGGACCACCCAUACACACUGACCCAUGCUCACAAGCUUGAAGUACUUUUCAGGGUGAUUAGCUCCCUAUUACAGCUAAAGAAACCGGGGCAGAGUAGCCAAGCGGCUCCCUAGACCAUACCACCACAAGGGGAUGGCAAGAGCUCCAAAGCCUGUUUGGUUUCAUCCACCAUUCACCCCAAGUGGUCUGUUUUAGACAUUCGGAUGCCACUGAGAGCUUCUGUUUCCUGCAGAUGAGCAGGUGUGAUCACCUACAAAGUCGCUGCCUGUCUGGUGGAGGAAAUCACAGUGCUCUGAGUUCGCACCACUGAGAAGGCAUUGGGUCUAAACUGACGUCAGUUGAAGGAAAGCAGUUGGGUCGUUUCUAAACUAGCAGAGGGCACACUUGAACAGCUGUUUGUCUGAGAACUUUAGUGAAAAGAGACAGCAAAAGCUGGGGUGUAGCUCUGUGGUAGAUCACUUGCCUAGCACCCCCUGUUUUGUCCCCAGCACUUACACCAAAGACCACAGUUCAUCAGUCUUACUCUGGUCUAUUUUUUUCUUUUAAGUUAUUCUCAGCCCCUGCUUUAAAGCUACCAAUUAGAUCCUAUUUUUAGUAAAGAUGUAUGAUUUCUGCCAGGCCACCCAUGAAGCGCUUUACCCCCGAAGGCUCUUAAAGGGUGGGAGUGGCAUGGGAUUUGGGUAAAGUCUCACCAAGACUCACCCUCACGGAUGCUUCAGUGGAACCCAAGGGCUGCAGAGACACUCGGGUGUUGCCAAGGCCCCCGACUGGACAGGCUGACAUCCCGCACAGGGAGAAAGCUUGCUGAGGGACUCAGGGUUUUUCACUGUCCCCUGGAUCUGUCAGCUCAGGCUGCUGUGGCAGAGUACCACGGUAGAGAUGACGGAUUAUUUUCUUAGUUGCGAAGGUUCCUGUCAGCCAAGGCCUUGAUGAGUCCCCGGUGACUUCUCCUUGGUGCACACUCAAAGCACACUUGGGCACCACUUAUCAGGACACCAGUCCCGCUGGGUUUGCGUGCCGCUCGUCCGACAGCACUAGUUCUUUAAAGGGGCUGCUCUCUGAAUACGGCACACCCACAGGGCUCCCUUCGGCAUGGGGAUGCUGAGGAAACUGCUCAGUCCUUUGGACCCCUCAAGACACUUGAACAGUUCAGGACAGCACAGGUGGAUAUGUGGGAAAUACCUGUUCAAACCCAGUCACCAAAACAGUUCACUCCUAGGGUGUCUGUGUGUGUGUGUGUGUGUGUGUGUGUGUGUGUGUGUGUGUG